rnacentral:lncRNA from 1 species
GAAUUGAGCUUCUUUAUUUUUCUCAGACUAAUUAAAAACUCCUUUAAAGGAAAUGAUUAGUAUGCUAAAGAUCAGAUUUUCUUUUUUUGUAAUGUCAACGACUUGUCCAUGUAGCCACAGCUACUGCUUGACAAGGCUGUCCCCAUUUUUGGCUUUAUGGCUGAGGUUUAUAAGUAGUAGUAUGAAAAUUACGUUUCUGCACUUAUUCUGACUCACCUGUUGAGAGGCAGAAAACUGUUGGUAAGAAAGCAUAAGCCUUCCUGGUCUGUUUGAACUGGUCAAGGGAUAGCCCUACUCUAAAACUCAUUUGAAAUUAAAUAAUGAGCGGCAGAUAAUGUUCAUGCCUUGCGACUAGAAUGAGCUCUUCUGCUGCUGUCAAAGUUUAUUCUUAUUCAAGUCCAGAACUUGAAGUUUGUUUCUGCCUGUUACUAGUAACUUGCUUUUAGUAGAGAUUUCUAACUUUAGUUUAAAAAUAAGGGAUAGUUGAGUAUUGUUAUGACUAUAUACAAAGCAGUAAUGUUGGAAGUGGUCCUGUAUGCAGCAUGUUUUGACUUACUGACUUGCUUCUCUUCAUCAAACAUUUAUUAAACUUGCGUGCCAGUGCUCUGUGUAACAGCCUUUUAAAGAGGGGAGUGUGCCUUGUGCUGUUGAGAGCAUUUGUAAGGAUUCAUUGAUUUUAUACACCAACUCAGUAUUGCCAUCUAUGUUGUUACUCCUCCUCUUUACAAAGAGCCUUAUUAAGUGAUAAGGCAAUUAAUAGGGAAUUGGUUUUGUGGUUUCCUUGUGUUUUUACUGUCCUGAAUCUAUAGAAGGGGAUGUUGUAUUAAAUCUUAUUUUAAGAAGUUUAUGAAUUGCAAUCCAAGUAAUUUAGUGAUAACCAUUAUUUAUGGAUAUGAUACUGCAUGCAGCGUUUUACUUCCUCCUCUUCCUUCUCUUCCCCUUUUCCUCCUCAUCCUCCUAUCUCAUCCUCCUCUACCACCUCCUUCUCUUCCUCCUUUUCCUUUUUUCCUCUUCUUCCUCCUCCUUUAAAAAACAAACAAACAAACAAACAAACAAACAAACAAACAAACAAACGUCCUGUAGCCCUGGCUGACGGACCUGGAGCUCACUUUGUGGAGCAGGCUGUUGUUGAGCUCUGCCAGCCUCGGCCUCAGGAAGACUGAGAUUGAAUGCAUGCACCGCCAUGACUUGUUGUAUUGUCUUAGUUUUAAAACUUGAACAAUAAGUGAUUAAUAUCUUCUUUUCGCCAUGAUGAAGAAAUGAAGCUUAAAUAGGUCAAAUGAAUUUCCUGGGAUUAUGCAGUUUGAUAAUGGAGACCUGAGAUAUCAAUCAGUAUCUGACUACUCCUUGAUUUAGGGUUAAUAAACCCUAGUCCAGUGGAACUUGAUAUGCAGCAGGAAGUGGAAAAAUGGGUAAAUGGAGAGCUUUGUGUAUUUAGAAUUACCAAGUCUAAUGAUUAAAAAACUAUUUGUUAUUGUUUAAAAGCAUCUGUAUUUUGUAUAAAAUUCUUAGUUUAAAAAACUAUUUGUUAUUGUUUAAAAGCAUCUGUAUUUUGUAUAAAAUUCUUAGUUUUUAAAAUAUUGCAGUUUAUUGAAGGUAAAUUGUUUGCCCACAGAAGGUAACCUGCAGAUGCUGAUUUGAAUCUUUUCAUAUUUCUGCUCUUAAGAGGUAUUUUCAGACUAAUUGAAACAUAUUUAUUAUUUUCAUAAUCCUGUAGAUCAUUAAACACUUCAGAAAAUAUUUAAUUUUACUUGGAAUUGAGGCUACUGCUAAGUAAAUUGUAGUCUACAGCAUGGAUCUUCAUGAAGGAGAUUAAGAAAAAUGUAAUUCUUUAAAUUGAACUGUCUAUCAAGUUAUAGUAUGUCAAUUGUAAUUUGUUGGAUUUAACAUAAAGAUCAAAGUUUUAUGGAGUGGGAACUGUUUGAAAUAAAUUCAGUGAUUGUUUAUGGCUUUAGUAAUUUUUUGGCUUAAAAUUUGUGUGCUUCUGGAGAAAAUUUUUGUACUAUUUCAUAAAUAUUUGUGUGGGAACAGGGAAGACUAAUCAGUUGUUAGUGAGUUCUUUCCCAGACUUGUAUGAAAGAUGAUGUAGUAAUCCUUUUUAAAAAUUAUUUUCAAAAUAAUUUUUCUAAAUGUGUUUUCAAAUCCUACCUUUAUAAUAAAAGAAUUCUCUCAAAUCUAGAUUUUUUAAAAAGUACUUUCUAUGUUGUGAAUUCUUGUAUUCUUUUGAUCUUUUACAUAUUAUUUAAUAUAUAAACUAAUAAAAAUUAGUGGUACUAUUUCAGUUUUAAGUGUGAAGUUCCUAACAUCUUUAACAGUAUUCAGUUGGUCAAAAUUUGGCUUUAAUAAUUGAUGGGAAAGUGUCUUAUUAGAACAGGGCUAGGAUUUCAGCUUGGGAGGUAGAGCACAUGGCUAGUAUGUAAGAGGCUCUCUAGGUCAGUCUUUAGCAAAAC